AAAUUUAUAGAUUCUGGAACUAAAAUACCACCAAGCUAUUUCCAGGAAUAAUUGGAAAUUACGAACCUACAUGUAAACGUCAAAAAACUCAAUUCCAAUUUCCCCUGUACCAAUAUCAGAUAUACUUACUCUAUAGAUAGAAUCAUAUACCUGUAUCUUAUCUCAUUCUAUCCCUAGUUUGUCUACUCUUUGUCAGCAUAAAAGCGAGUUUAAUAUUUUGUAACUGCGACUGUAUGAUGGUGCUUACAGGAAAGCUUAAUUCUUUUUUGCAAACAAAACUGUGACUACCGAUGCUGCUAACGAAUUGUUGAUGGAGAAGGAAUUGGAAGAAGACAUUGAUCAUUGUGUUGAUGAUAAUGUGCUACCUUUAGAAACACAGACUGCCCUGAAACGACUAAAAACUUAGAAGAGAGCAUGCAUGAGUGGCGAGAGAUUGUGCGGUCUUGCCAUGCUCCAUGUUCAUCGCGAAAAGGAUAUCAGCAGACCAAAUUAUGAUUCUGAAACGAUUUGACUGAACCGGCAAUAGAAAAAUUUGGCAAACUCUACUGAAUCGAUGUUUGUUCUAUGUUCUGGCAGCAGACUCAAAUCAGUGAUAUUUAGAUGAUUAUCUUACAUAUAAAUUGAAAUAAAGUUGUUAAAAAUUUGGGUUUAGUAAAAGUCUAAAAAUAUGAAAAAUUUAUAUAAAAAGUGUCCAAAUUCAAAACAUUAUCAAACUCUCUAAAAAUGCCUAGAAUGCAGGAUUUUGCACCAUUCAUUUCAUACACCUCAAAAAAAAAAUUUCGCCUCGCUUCGCUCGGCUCAAUUAUUUUGCCUCACUAAAAUAAGAUGCCUAGCUACGGCCUUGAAGUUGAUAAAAAAUAUGGAUGAAU
rnacentral:lncRNA from 1 species